rnacentral:rRNA from 1 species
AGUGAACGCUGGCGGUAGGCCUAACACAUGCAAGUCGAACGGCAGCACAGUAAGAGCUUGCUCUUACGGGUGGCGAGUGGCGGACGGGUGAGGAAUACAUCGGAAUCUACUUUUUCGUGGGGGAUAACGUAGGGAAACUUACGCUAAUACCGCAUACGACCUACGGGUGAAAGCAGGGGAUCUUCGGACCUUGCGCGAUUGAAUGAGCCGAUGUCGGAUUAGCUAGUUGGCGGGGUAAAGGCCCACCAAGGCGACGAUCCGUAGCUGGUCUGAGAGGAUGAUCAGCCACACUGGAACUGAGACACGGUCCAGACUCCUACGGGAGGCAGCAGUGGGGAAUAUUGGACAAUGGGCGAAAGCCUGAUCCAGCCAUACCGCGGGGGUGAAGAAGGCCUUCGGGUUGUAAAGCCCUUUGUUGGGAAAGAAAAGCAGCAGGUUAAUACCCCGCUGUUCUGACGGUACCCAAAGAAUAAGCACCGGCUAACUUCGUG